GGUGAGGCGGUGAGGUACAGACAGCUGACAGCUGAACUUAUAGGGAGUAAAACGCGUGUCAUUAUGCUCUGAGUUUAGGCUACUACCACGAACUGCACGGCGAUUUUGAAUCAUAUAUGACUUUAUGUCGCUUAGACUAUUAUACAGUAAAAUAUAUAUGUCAUGCUCAGAGCGGUGCGUUAAUUUUAUUAGGCUACAUACGUCGAAGUUUGUAGUCUGCGCAUACAUGUGUAUUAUGCUCCUGUAAAGUAAUUACGCCAGCCAUGUUCACAAACCGAUGGUGGGAAGGAGGCUCGUGCUAGGGUGCAUAGGGGGGCAACAAAAAAGAGGCCAUAUUUUCGCACUGUUUUGGUUCUGAUGGUUGAUGAGGUGUGAAACUGAUGAUUGUGGGGGUCAGAGAGCCACAAUGGCAUUCCAGGGCCAUUGUUUUUGACAGAUGGGCCAUAAGCAGUGGCAAUCACAGGUGUGUUUACACCUAUCACCAGAAUUGAUUGUGUAGGGACACUGGUUUUGGAGAGGACUAAACACCUAUGUUUACAAGGUCCAAAAUAUUGGCCAGAAAUAUUUAAAUAUACCGGUAUGUGUUUUUAACAAAAGUCUGAGCAAUUUUUGCACGGGUAUGUUUACAUUUGAUUUAUAUACAAAUACUUUACUACAUUCCUUUUAUUAUCAUGUUAUUUUUGCUGAGGUUUUCUAGAAUAUAACCAUAUAUGGCACUUUUGCAUGAAUGUUUUUAGUUAGGUGAAAUAAACAACUGAUCUGAUUAUGACUAAUCUAGAGUUUGGUGAUCAAUGGGCAUUCAUUAUUAACAACAGUGACCGGUUAUUAUAACAUGUGCAUUGCUUUGUGACUCUUGCAGCUUCAAAAAUGACAAAGUUCCAUUCACGCGCUCAAGUGAUUCAGAUGCUCUAUGACAGCGAUGAGGAAUCCGACAGCCUCAGUGAAUGCCUUUCAGAUGACCCUUCACGUGGAGCUAGCAUGGAUUCCUUUGAAUGGAUGUGUUUUGAGGAACGACUGGACCCUCUCCUCGACUUUGUUUCUUCUGAGGCUCCAAUGAGUGCACCUGUCCCCUCCCCUCUCCCAACACACCGCAGCUCCCCUGACCUGCCAGGUCCCUCAAGCCUUCUUCCAUCUCCAAGGCGGACAAGUACCAGAAAGAGUGCGAGACUAUCCGUCAAGAGGAGUGCGAGGCUAUCCGUCAAUAGGAGUGCGAGCCAAUCCUUCAAGAAGAGAGCACCCACACGAACGGCUAUGGCUUCAAAAAUGAAGACAUAUUCACCCGCUCAAGUGAUUCAGAUGCUCAAUGACAGCGAUGAGGAAUCGUCUGACCUGCCAGGUCCCUCAAGCCUUUCUCCAUCUCCAAGGAGGACAAGUACCAGAAAGAGUGCGAGACUAUCCGUCAAGAAGAGUGCAAAACCAUCAGUGAAAAACAGCCGUCUGUAGAAACCAGCUUUAUUAGGCUGAAAAAUCUCUACGGCAGGUGUCACUGCCUUACGCCAUGUUUUUGCACAGAACAAACCUGUGUUGCAUGCUGUGUCUGGGAGACUGUUGCUAACUUGGUUGAUGGUUGAUGCUGGACAGUAUUGUUUUAAGUUAUUAUUUUCUUUAUUCUUUAGCUUGUUCAGUUGCUUAGUUUCACUGGCUCUGAUGCUGCUGCCCCAAGUAAAAGUAUAUAUUUUUGUACCUGUAUCUGUAGGUCGCCCCUAGCCCACCGUAAGUUUAUGACUUGGGGGGGGGGGGGGGCACAAUGUAGUACGCCACUCUGUAUUCAUUACUGUUCAUUUAACCAAGUGUGCCACUGGUUUUGUUCCGUUUAAUAAAGUUGAGUUCCCUAACCUCCA
ensembl:lncRNA